UACCAUAUUUAGGGCCUCGUAUAUUUGGGCCUUGGGCCUUGUAUUUGGGCCUCACACUAAAGCCCAUACUCUGUAAAAGAGGAGGAGCCCCUUAUUCUAUAAAAGGGGACUCCUACCCUCAUUCUAAAGGAGGCAAAAGAGCCAAGCCUAAGAAGGCUAAGAGAAGCUAUCAUUACAUUCAUGAGAGACCUCACACCACCGAGGCUCUCCUCUCCCUUCUCUUCUUUCUCCGGGGACUUCCCCCAAACACUUGUAUCCAUACACUUACAGAGAAACAGAAUCAACUACAGUGUGGACGUAGCCCAAACAUUGGGGUGAACCACGAUAAAAUCCUUGUGUUCUUUGUGUUCUGAGUGUUCUUGAGCGUUUGUGCAGAUUCACGGUCGGAUUUACGUUGUUCCAAGACCUUCCGGUUUUGUGCAUCAACACAUACUAAUAUGACUUUGAAUUGCUUGUUUGAUUUGGAGCUAGCCAAGUCCAACUAGUCCUACUUGCAUGUUUAUCAAAAAUCUGAUCUUUCAAAUUUCUGAACCAUAUUAUAAACCCCUGGUCAGAAUUCCAAAUGCAUAACUGACAAUAUGGAUGUAGGGUGAAAUGUGCCUAUUUUGAUUUAUCCUUGAAAGAACAUAGAUACCUUAGGAGAUCGAAUAAGACAAAUAUUCUUGUAAAAGAAUAGUUACGCAAGGCACAACUUUAAUGAGUGUUUAGGGUUACAGUUUCUGUGUACCUAUUCUUUUACAAGAAUAUUCUUGUGAUUCAAUCUUCAAAGUAGAAUUCGAUUCAAGAGUUGUGAACACUUGAUCUUAAAUUAGAUGUGAUUUCUUUAAGGGUCAUUGUUGAACACAAUUUUGCCCAACAAUAGAUGAUCGAACCGGUGAGAACAAAGACUAUGAAAGAUCGUGAAACCAAGCGCAGGGGAUGGUGGUUUCUGGCAUAUGCACUCCAACGAUUAAGUCAAAUGAGAGAAACGGGUAUAAAGAUUGUUAAAUGUAUAGAGAGAGAGCUCAAAAUGUCUAACCAUUUGUGAGGUGUCAGGAUGCCUAUUUAUAGGCAUUUAUGGAGUCAUCUUUGGUGCUCUGCUAACUCUUUGGGUUGUUAUAGUGGUUGGAGUUAAAGGUAAAGCCCUCUUCACUCAGAUGUCUCUGUUGCAUGAGUCAGAACAAUCUGCCUAUUGUGCAGCAUAGGUCAGCAUUAUCUAUCAUCUGCACAAUAUAGGCAAUCACAUCACCCAUACCAAUCACUUUGCCCAAACGUUCCCUAUAGCAGAGUGAAGAUGAUCAGUAUGGGACUGGAAGAAUUGUUAUCUGAGUGGAGAUAAUUGGACAUGAUGUGGGUGCCUACGAUGUCUACUCCAUCUAGAGUACCCAGGGUGAGAUGGAUUGUAUGAACCCGUUAAGACUCCAAUUGAUGAGUGAUCGUAUAAAGUUUGGCUAGAAACCACCAAGUUUUAGUAUCUUGCGAUAAAAGGAAUAAGAUGCUUUACUUAUUUCAGGUCCAAUCCGCAUAGUGGACUCAUAUAUUUACUAUUCCGAGGAGGUGGAAAAUAUGGUUUCACAACCGUUAAGGCUUGCUCUUGAAUGGAAUGGAAUCACGAGGAGUUUCAUGUAGUGGAUGAUUUUCAACUUUAGUGUGAAUAAACUGACACGUGUAUUUGUUAUACUUGUUGAUUAUCCACAAGCUUGAUGAAGAACACAAAUGUUUGAGUGUGGCCAGAAAGCUUUCUAGUGUCUCUAAAGGUUUAGACUUGCUUUGUUUCUCUGUUGCCCACUUUCUUGAAAAUGAGCCUAGUAUUUAUAAGUGAGCGAUUGAAUCUUAGUUUAGAAUCCUCAAUCUGAAUCCCGUAAUUUGUAGGAUAGAUUUUCACAUUUGAUUUAAUUUGAGUUAAUUAUUUAAUUUAGGUCUUAAUUAAAUUAGGAUUUUUAGUUUAGGAAAUUAAACCCUAAUUGAUAUAAUUUGGUCAAAUUAGAGUUAAUUUGUCCCAUUUUGUAUUUGAUUAGAUUUAGUUUAUAUUGAUUGAUUGGAUUUAAUUAUUAUAGUUAAAUCAUAAUCAGUAGUUUAAGGAAUUAAACCAUAAUUAAGAUAUUUGAUCAAUUAGGGUUGUGGGACCAUGAUUUUCUAGGGUCGGGGUAAGGCUGAUCCAAAUACAAUUACCUCAUAAGUCAUAUAGUGGUGUCACCAUCACCUUAUUCUGGGGUAAUAGGUGGAGUCUUGGCGACUUCGCCAGAUGACUAUGUUUGUCCUGCAAGACACAAUUUGAUUUAGAUAUGGACACAAUCAGAUCCUUAAGUCUUGUAGUUCCUAAAUUUAGGAAUUAGCGUGCACUGCAAGUAAUCAUAACUCCUAAGAGGAUGUAAAAUCUACCUCCAGAUAUCCUCUAAAACUCUCUCGGCUUAGAAUAAGGAUUUUAUCAUUAAAAACAAGGUUCUAAAAAA
rnacentral:lncRNA from 1 species